UCCCUCAUUUUUUUUUUUUUUCGAUUUGAGAGCGGCGUUUGUGUUGUUGUAACCAGUUGGUGGCAGUCAUUUGCUUCCAUCACACGAAAGAAAACUCAAUUUUUCCAGUUGUUUCAAUGGCGGGGAAAAUAAAAUUAAAAUUAAAAUUGAGAUGGUGAUGUGUCCAGGCACAGAAAAAAAAAAUUACAAAUCAGUUCCAUGUGUGCGUCUUCUUUAAUAUUCCAUCCGACACUUGAAAACGAAGAGGUCAGAAACACAACAAUAAGGGAUGGGUGGGGUGGGGUCUUAAAAAGAGAGCCAUGGAAAUCUAAUUGGAAUGGAUGCGGUUAUAAUUUCUCCAGUGCCAGCAGCCCUCAAGCAAACAGAUGCGCAGAGUAUUGCGGCAAAUGGCGGAUAGAGAGAAAGAGAAGUGACGGAUUAUAGUUUUGUUCUGGCUCUGCGGCUGUUUCGGAAUAAAGGCAUAAAAAAUAUACUCGUCCAUGGAACGACAUCAAACAAGUGACACGAAAUUUUUAUUUAUUCAUUUUGAACUAGUUUGCCGUUUAUGUUGUAGGGCUGAUGCUGUUCCCUUAUUGUUUACGACACAACCUGAUGAUGGGCUCUUCCCGUUUCCAGCCUCACUCGAAGGUCGCUCUUUUUUUAGUCGGGUGACAAACAUUUCUCGUGUAUAGCAGCCAUAUGGAUGGUACUACUACCUUAUACCUAAAUUUUAUGGCAACAACGGAGGCCAAAACAAAAAUGCAUCAUGUGCAUGAAGAUUCGAAAAUAGAAUUUGUUUAAACAUUGAAUGACUCUUGACUACUUUUAUUUCAGUCGAUGAAUAAAAAUCGAGAGUACAACCAACA